CUUGUCCAGAGGCAGCUUCAGGACCCACUAUGGGAGCACAGGCUGCAUGGGCGCAGCCCUCGGGUGCUGAUACAGGGCCUGGCUUGGACCCUCCUUCGCCUCGGACUCAGGUGCUAUUCAUUUCCCCUCCCUGGGAGCCAUCAUCAGAACAAAGAGGCCAGACGGAGAGCAAGACCCAGGUCUCAGGAGGCCAGAAGCCACAGGUGUUCGACUUUGUGACCUCUGCCUGCCACAGUGAAUCCAAGAAUCCACAGCUGCGAUUUGUGUUAGGGUACGGAGUUGAAGAAUGUGAAGCAGACCUUGGCUCCCCUCACGGGGUCACAGGCCACGGGGACAGGCAGACUCAAGGAACUGAACUUGUGUAUGUGAGAAGGAGCUACGAUUGCUGCACCAAUCGGGGUACUGAGAUGGAGGAUACUGGGGUGCACGGGGCCUUGUUAAAUCCCCGUGGUGAGGGGCACUUCCCUGAGGUCCUCACCCUCUGGGGAAGGGGCUGGGGGGCAAAUGGGAUUCUGGCCCAAGUGAUCUCCAAUCUCCACCCUAAGGGAUGGAUGCAGAUGGAAAGUCAGGAGGUGUGGGCUCCCCUUCUGGCUCUGGUAACCCCUCGGGUUCCCCACCUCUGUGGAUUUCACCCCCUCAACCCCCACCCAGAGCUCACCAAACCCUGCAGGCUGUCUUGGCCUUGACCUGCGCUGCUUUCUCACUGUCUCUCCCAUGUCCUCUGGCCCCUGGCUACUCCUCACUCUGUGCCUGGUGUGUCGGUGCUCCGUGGAGCCCUGAGGGUGUGCUCAGGGGCCGCCCUCACAAGUUACCCCGUCUCUGGACCUGAGCCUGCAGGACCAUUUGCUCCUACAACCAUAUUCAGGAGAUUGGUCCACUGCUUUCCUGUCCUCACAUCCCCACUGGUCUUCCAGAGUGGGGGCCCAAAAGCAGGAUUUUCCUUCCUCACCACUCGCCUCCCCAAGGCUACCCCAAGGCAAGUCGGGGGCACAUCCUUCCCCUAUUGUCACUGUCUGUCAUGACAUCGUCCCGUUGAGCUCAUGUGUGACAUCAGAAUCCUUCUCAACACAGCCAUUUGGGAAGCUGAUGCUGAAGAACUGGAGCUGACUUGUGGGAUGAAAUCUGUUAGCUGUUCUUGUUUAGCAAGAGCUAGGAUACCAUGUGGCCCACGUGUAGACUUCUGCAUAAACAAAGCUUGGGGUGUGGACCUAGCUGGAAUUGCAGGUACAGAGGCAGGAGCCAGACCAGUCUGAAGAGAGCUGGAAGUUGGCAGGCAGUGGGCAGGGUGUCCCUGGGAGAGGUACCAUGGGCUGGGAGGCAGUGGGACAGAAGUACAGGGCCCAGAGGGAGAUGGUUCAGGGCAGGUUGGUCCUACUGGGGAUCCUCUGAGGGCUGGCGGGACCUCUGAGACUUGCCCUAUCACCCCUUCCCCCCAGCCUGAAGUAUCACCCUUCUCAAAAGACCAGAACAUCACUGCCUCAAGCAGAGGCAGGCCGGGACAGUUGGGAGGGUACCUCUGUAGGCCGAAUGAGCCUUUAUGAAAACGACGUCAGUGUCUUUGCCCUAGCUGUGGUCCUUAGAGGCAGGCACAGGGGCACGGACGGUUGUCAAAGACCCUAGUGUGGUCAGGGUUUCCCAGGAGCUGUGUGGCUGCCUCGGGGCCCUGGUGGCCUGGGCACGGGGGAAGUCAGCAGAAAGGACGGGCCUCCUGCCUCCCCUUGGCAGGUCCUGUGGCACCAGUUCUCCUCUCUGUGAGCGCCUGGAGGUGGCUGCACCUCUGCUGGUCUUGAUCCCUUGAGGACGGCCCACGCCCUGAGGGCUGCAUGUUCACUCCUCAUCCCAGGCCCCGGCACUGGAAGGAGGGACCCCAACUGACUGAAUGAGUGGUGCUGCUGUCUGUGCCACCUGUCAGAGUUUCCUGCUCGCUGGACACCUGUCAUCUCUGCGACACUGGGAGCUGCCUGAAGGCCGGGCUGGCCCAGUUCUCUACGGCUGGAUUUCCAGGGUGGAGAUACAGACACAGAGCAGCCAUAUCUUCUUAUUGUACCACCUGGGCUCUGUCCAAGUCUGGGUUGGGGCACCCUGGGCCUCGGGUGGCUCUGGAGCUGGGCCCUGGUGGUCCUAGAGAAUUUGGAACACACUGCCGGCCAAGCAGAAGCUGCCGUCCCCCACAAGCCACGGCCAUGCUCCAGUCACACCGCUUGGCCUUGCCUCGCCUUCUCCAAGCUGAAGUUUCUGUCCCUGCUCCCCUGGGACCUGUCCCAAGUCCCCUUGGUUCCUAAGGUUCAACUGCAGGGCCUCCUCCUUCAGAGUCGCUGCCUGGAGUAGGCCUCUGGCCCUCUGUGUUCCCUGUGCUGGUCUGAUGCUGUCUCGCAGGAUCCACAGGAUGCACACUUGUGAACUU
ensembl:lncRNA